rnacentral:rRNA from 1 species
GUGCACCAGGCGCGAAACCUUCGCAAUGCAGGAAACUGCGACGAGGGAACUCCAAGUGCCUACGCUCAGCGUAGGCUGUUCUCAAGCCUAGAAAGCUUGAGGAGUAAGGGCUGGGUAAGACGGGUGCCAUCUGUGGUAGCAGUCAAUAGAUUCGAUUUGUUACUGCAAGGCAUAAGCCGCCGCGGUAAUACCCGCAGCCCAAGUGGUGGCCGCUUUUAUUGGGCCUAAAGCGUCCGUAGCCGGCCCGGUAAAUGCCUGGGUAAAUCGUGGAGCCCAACUUCACGAAUUCCGGGUAGACUGCCGAGCUCGGGACCGGAGAGGGAGAGGGUACUUCGAGGGGUAGGGGUGAAAAUUUCCUUUCCGAUUAACGCUUUUGCGCGAAGCGGAAAGGGUUAUC